GAGCGAACCGGAUUAGAUACCCGGGUAGUCCACGCCGUAAACGAUGAUUGCUAGGUUUUCGGGGCAUCGACCCCUCGUGAGCCGAAGUUAACGCGUUAAGCAAUCCGCCUGAGUAGUACGGCCGCAAGGCUAAAACUCAAAGAAAUUGACGGGGGACCGCACAAGCAGCGGAGCGUGUGGUUUAAUUCGAUGGUAAGCGAAGAACCUUACCAGGGUUUGACAUGUAAGUAGUACUGAACCGAAAGGGGAUGGACCCGCAAGGGAGCUUACACAGGUGUUGCAUGGUUGUCGUCAGCUCGUGCCGUGAGGUGUUGGGUUAAGUCCCGCAACGAGCGCAACCCUCUUUGUUAGUUGCACUCUCUAACGAUACUGCCCUUAAAAGGGAGGAAGGUGGGGAUGACGUCAAAUCAUCAUGGCUCUUACACCCUGGGCUACACACACGCUACAAUGGCAAGUACAGACGGUUGCCAACCCGCGAGGGGGAGCUAAUCCGAUAAAACUUGUCUCAGUUGGGAUUAUAGGCUGAAAUUCGCCUAUAUGAACGUGGAGUUGCUAGUAAACGCAGGUCAGCACACUGCGUUGAAUACGUUCCCGGUCCUUGUACACACCGCCCGUCACGUCAUGGAAGUUUGUAACACUUGAAGUCGUUGCGCUAACCCUUUGGGAGGCAGACGCCGAGAGUGGGACGGAUGACUGGGACGAAGUCGUAACAAGGUAGCUGUACCGGAAGGUGCGGCUG
rnacentral:rRNA from 1 species